UUUGUGGAGGGUUCGAUUCUGGCUCAGGAUGAACGCUGGCGGCGUGCUUAACACAUGCAAGUCGAACGGGAUCCGGCCAAGCUUGCUUGGCUGGUGAGAGUGGCGAACGGGUGAGUAAUGCGUGACCAACCUGCCUCAUGCACCGGGAUAGCUCCUGGAAACGGGUGGUAAUACCGGAUGUUCCACAUGAUCGCAUGUGAUUGUGGGAAAGGCUUUUUGCGGCAUGGGAUGGGGUCGCGUCCUAUCAGCUUGUUGGUGGGGUGAUGGCCUACCAAGGCUUUGACGGGUAGCCGGCCUGAGAGGGCGACCGGCCACAUUGGGACUGAGAUACGGCCCAGACUCCUACGGGAGGCAGCAGUGGGGAAUAUUGCACAAUGGGCGCAAGCCUGAUGCAGCGACGCCGCGUGCGGGAUGGAGGCCUUCGGGUCGUAAACCGCUUUUGUUCACGAGCAAGGCAUCCUUUCGGGGGUGUUGAGUGUAGUGUUCGAAUAAGCACCGGCUAACUACGUGCCAGCAGCCGCGGUAAUACGUAGGGUGCGAGCGUUAUCCGGAUUUAUUGGGCGUAAAGGGCUCGUAGGCGGUUCGUCGCGUCUGGUGUGAAAGCCCAUCGCUUAACGGUGGGUCUGCGCCGGGUACGGGCGGGCUGGAGUGCGGUAGGGGAGACUGGAAUUCCCGGUGUAACGGUGGAAUGUGUAGAUAUCGGGAAGAACACCAAUGGCGAAGGCAGGUCUCUGGGCCGUUACUGACGCUGAGGAGCGAAAGCGUGGGGAGCGAACAGGAUUAGAUACCCUGGUAGUCCACGCCGUAAACGGUGGAUGCUGGAUG
rnacentral:ncRNA from 1 species